rnacentral:rRNA from 1 species
UAGAGUUUGAUCCUGGCUCAGGACGAACGCUGGCGGCGUGCUUAACACAUGCAAGUCACGGGGGCCCGCAAGGGCAACCGGCGAACGGGUGCGUAACACGUGACCAACCUGCCCUCGUGUGGGGGAUAGCCGGGCUAACGCCCGGGUAAUACCGCAUACGCUCUUUUGGGGGAGUCCCUGGGAGAGGAAAGCUCCGGCGCACGGGGAGGGGGUCGCGGCCUAUCAGCUAGUUGGGGGGGUAAUGGCCCACCAAGGCGACGACGGGUAGCUGGUCUGAGAGGAUGGCCAGCCACAUUGGGACUGAGAGACGGCCCAGACUCCUACGGGAGGCAGCAGUGGGGAAUCUUGCGCAAUGGCCGAAAGGCUGACGCAGCGACGCCGCGUGUGGGAGGACGCCUUUCGGGGUGUAAACCACUGUUGCCCGGGACGAAUAUCCUGCUUUGGCAGGAUUGACGGUACCGGGUGAGGAAGCACCGGCUAACUCCGUGCCAGCAGCCGCGGUACCCAAUCGCC